UGACCGUGCGAAGGUAGCAUAAUCAUUAGUCUUUUAAUUGAAGGCUUGUAUGAAUGGUUGGACGAGAAGUAAUCUGUCUCUAUUAAAAAAAUUGAAUUUAACUUUUGAGUGAGAAGGCUUAAAUAAUCUAGAGGGACGAUAAGACCCUAUAAAGUUUAACAUUAUAAUAAUAAAAAGUUGAUUGGGUUGAAGAACUUAUUAUUAUGAAUAGUGUUUUGUUGGGGCGACAAGAAUAUAAAUAAUUUAACUGUUCUUUUUUGUAUCAAAAAUAUUUGGAUUAAUGAUCUUUUUAAGAGUAUUAGAGUAAAUUACUUUAGGGAUAACAGCGUAAUUUUUUUUGAGAGUUCUUAUCGACAAAAGAGUUUGCGACCUCGAUGUUGAAUUAAAGAUUCUUUAUAGUGCAGAAGCUAUAUGAGAAGGUCUGUUCGACCUUUAAAUCUUUACAUGAUUUGAGUUCAGACCGGUGUGAGCCAGGUUGGUUUCUAUCUA
rnacentral:rRNA from 1 species